AGAGUUUGAUCCUGGCUCAGAUUGAACGCUGGCGGCGUGCCUAACACAUGCAAGUCGUACGAGAAAUCCCGAGCUUGCUUGGGAGAGUAAAGUGGCGCACGGGUGAUAACGCGUGGGUAACCCACCUUCGAAUCUGGGAUAACUCCGCGAAAGCGGUGCUAAUACCAGGAUAAGACCACAGCCGCUUCGGCUGGUAGAGGUAAAAGCUGACCUCUCCAUGGAAGUUACGCGUUCGAGGACGGGCCCGCGUCCUAGUCAGCUUGUUGGAUGGGCGGCCUACCAAGGCUACUAUGGGUAGCUGGUCUGAGAGGAUGAUCAGCCACACUGGAACUGAGACACGGUCCAGACUCCUACGGGAGGCAGCAGUGGGGAAUUUUGCGCAAUGGGCGAAAGUCUGACGCAGCAACGCCGCGUGAGUGAUGAAGGUUUUCGGAUCGUAAAGCUCUGUCGGUGGGAAGAAACUACUAUCGGAUAAUACUCGGUAGUACUGACGGUACCCACAAAGGAAGCACCGGCUAACUCCGUGCCAGCAGCCGCGGUAAUACGGAGGGUGCAAGCGUUGUUCGGAAUUAUUGGGCGUAAAGAGCGUGUAGGCGGUUGUCUAAGUCUGAUGUGAAAGCCCGGGGCUUAACCCCGGAAGUGCAUUGGAAACUGGGCAAUUUGAGUAUGGGAGAGGAAAGUGGAAUUCCGAGUGUAGGGUGUAGGGGUGAAAUCCGUAGAUAUUCGGAGGAACACCAGUGGCGAAGGCGGCUUUCUGGACCAAUACUGACGCUGAGACGCGAAAGCGUGGGGAGCAAACAGGAUUAGAUACCCUGGUAGUCCACGCCGUAAACGAUGGGUACUAGAUGUCGCGGGUAUUGACCCCUGCGGUGUCGCAGCUAACGCAUUAAGUACCCCGCCUGGGGAGUACGGUCGCAAGAUUAAAACUCAAAGGAAUUGACGGGCCCGCACACAAGCGGUGGAGCAUGUGGUUUAAUUCGACGCAACGCGAAGAACCUUACCUAGGUUUGACAUCCCGAUCGUAUUACUAGAGAUAGUUUGGUGCCUUCGGGAAUCGAGUGACAGGUGCUGCAUGGCUGUCGUCAGCUCGUGUCGUGAGAUGUUGGGUUAAGUCCCGCAACGAGCGCAACCCUUAUCCUUAGUUGCCAGCACAUUAUGGUGGGAACUCUAAGGAUACUGCCGGUGAUAAACCGGAGGAAGGUGGGGAUUACGUCAAGUCAUCAUGGCCCUUAUGGGCUGGGCUACGCACGUGCUACAAUGGACGGUACAGAGGGUCGCAAUCCCGCGAGGGGGAGCUAAUCCCAGAAAGCCGUUCUUAGUCCGGAUCGCAGUCUGCAACUCGACUGCGUGAAGUCGGAAUCGCUAGUAAUCGCGAAUCAGCAAUGUCGCGGUGAAUACGUUCCCGGGCCUUGUACACACCGCCCGUCACACCAUGGGAGUGGGUUGCACCAGAAGUAGCUAGCUUAACCUUCGGGAGGAGCGGUUACCACGGUGUGGUUCAUGACUGGGGUGAAGUCGUAACAAGGUACC
rnacentral:rRNA from 1 species